GAUGAACGCUGGCGGCGUGCCUAAUACAUGCAAGUCGAACGAUCAGAAUCGGACCUUCCUCCUCUAACGUUAGCCGCAGAGGGGUGAGUAACACAUGGAAACCAUACAUAUAAACCUGGGUAAACUUCGGGAAACCGGAGCUAUACCGGGAUAAUAUAUUGAACCGAAUGGCUCAAUAGUGAAAGACAGAUUUGCUGUUACUUAUGGAUGGAGCCGCGUCGCAGUAGCUUGUUGGAAAGGUAACGGCUUACCAAGGCGACGAUGCGUCGCGGACCUGAGAGGGUGAUCGGCCACACUGGAACUGAGACGCGGUCCAGACUCCUACGGGAGGCAGCAGUAGGGUAUCUUCCGCAAUGGGCGAAAGCCUGACGGAGCAACGCCGCGUGAGUGAUGAAGGUCUUCGGAUCGUAAAACUCUGUUAUUAGGGAAGAACAAAUGUGUAAGUAACUAUGCACGUCUUGACGGUACCUAAUCAGAAAGCCACGGCUAACUACGUG
rnacentral:rRNA from 1 species